UCCCCCAAACCUCUGUGUGCCUGGGCGUGCUUAUCGAACGGUGAUUGGAGCACCAACGUGUACGCUCCGCCAUGCACCAGCCCGUUCGCGAAGACAACCUUAUCGGCCCCUUCAUCUCUAGUAAGGAAACACACGCGCGAAUCACCCUACCCUCUGUUGCGCGUAGCAUCGAUCAUCCGAGUGUUGGGAGUCUCGGACCACUGGGCGGGUCAUCGUCGGGGUAGGCCCCGCCGCCCAGCUCUGUUGCGCCGCCGCUCUGGUGAACGUCGGGAUGGGAAGAUGACACUGGUGUACCAUUGGAUCGGUCUCGAGCGGACGAUAUUAGAGUUUAGUGCCGCUUGGUCGGAUGCGUUUUGAGCCAUCAAUCUCAAGAUAAACGAUCACAAAUGGAUUCAGUUGUGAAAGGUUUGGAACCAUUAGAUUGCCAAUGGACGUGCGAGAUCACAUGUUGGAUAACCCUUCAACCUUUUAAUCUGGGCGGUCGGGUUUAGAUCCGACGGUUGAGAUGUGCCCGUACCCCUUCGGUUGGGGCAAAUUCAUUAAGAGACCCUAUAGUUCUCUAUAAUCAACUUGUGGUCCCACCUAGUCUUAGAACUAUCGCAACUAGGUCCAGAAAUUUGCGUGCGACCCCUCGAGAUUCUGGAGAUUUGUGGCCGCAACCCAAAAGGUUAAUAAAAUGGUUAAAAUCAAUAAGGAAAAUGAUUCUUAGUUUAAAAAUAAUUCAUGAAACUGUUUAAUUCAUAUUUAAUUCGUUUUAACUCCAAAUUAAUUCAUUCCAGUUGCAUUAGACUCAAAUUAAUAUUGUUUAUCAUCCAGUAACUUUAUUUUGUUAUGAAAUUGGGAUUAAAAUUUAUGCACUUGGUUCAUUUUAAUCCAACACUUAAAACUUCGAAAAUCCAUAACUUCUUCGUUUUAAUUCCGAUUUGGUCCGUUCAAGUCGCGCUAACUUCAUAUGAAUAUUUACUAUGCACUAACAACAUCAUUUAUACCAUAUCGCAUAAUUUUACAGUUAGAUAUUUGCUUAACCUAUGUCUACUAGAUUAACUCUUCUAAUCAAAGCUAACAUGUCCAUAUAUAUAAAUUUGGUUAAAAUAUGAUCUCUAGUCAUGUUAUAAUUAAGAUUAAAGUUGAAUUAAUUAUUUCUUUAGAUUAUCUUUAUAAAAUCAAAACAAGACCUAGUUUUAAUCACUUACACACAUGGGUCUCGAACCCACAAUCUCAUAGAAUAUUCUCAUGCAGUUUGUUCUUAUGUUUGGCGUGAUGUUAUUUUGCUAAUACCCUGUUUGUUUGUAUUGCUAUGACUAGCGCGAGGUUGCGAGUCACCUGAAGAGCAAGUUGGUACCUGGAAUCUCAAGUCCCAGGCAAGUUGUGCCCUUGAUCACUUCUUUUUACCCAAUCAUGUUCUCAUUAAUCAUAAUGAUCUGCAUAGGUUAAUUUUGAUGGGAUCCAAUAGGUCACCCUAGUUUGGCUAUCUUUAUACCUUGUUUACCACUAAAUUUUUUGGGUAGUACAUGUUAUUGCUUUAUGUGGUUUUGGAUAUGGAGAUACACAUUAUUCAUGAUUCUACUUUUAUUAUCAGUUUGUUAUUUACUAUUCAUGAUAAGAUCAUUAUGUUAAUUGGAACAUGGAGAACCACCCGAAAAAACAGUGCUACCAUAAGGGUGGUAUGGGACGUCCUUGGCUGACUAAUUAGGAAAGCUAGUGGAGGACUACCUUACCCAAAAGGGGCAAUGGCAGUAGGGGAGUGGUCAUUGUGGGGAUGCCCUUGGGUUGAUUUUGCUGAGAUGGCGGUCACGCGAGGGGUCCCUGCAUUGGAGCUUCAUAGAAACUGUACCGGGUUUUCUGAAGCUAGUGGAAGUUUGUAAAGGCCUCGUAGUGUUACCCUGCCUCGCUUCCUUGGUAGAGGUGUAUGGGAGUCGCAAUCCCUUAGCAGAUGGGUAACAUGACUUGUGGGUAAAUAUGUGCAACCACUACAGAGUGUAAAACUGGUAUACUAGCCGUGCUCACGGUCAUGAGCAGCUCGGACAAUCACAUGAUUAAUUUAUGGAAUUAAAUUCAAUUUGUCAUUUGCAUCGCAUUGGGAUUUAUUAUUAUUUUGACUUACUAUUACUAUAGUUUGGUAUUUACUUACAUUUAGUAAAUUCUAAUAAAAUUUUGACUAACUUAUAAAAUCAAUGCUCAGCUUUAGCCGUCCUCUUUGGUAAGCCUUACACUUCACAUGAGCUCCCGCCUUUGGUGAGUACAUGCACAUUAUUUCCCACAACUUGUUGAGCGAUGAACGUAUGUGAGCUCACUCUUGUUAUCUCACACCCCCAUAGGUCAAGAACAGGUACUGCAGGAUGAGGCGCAUGGAGGAUGCUACGAUGUGUUUGUGAGAGGUCUAGGUCGUCAUCUCCCAGUCAACUUUGGGUUGAUGGAUCAUUGUCUCCUUACAAUGUAAUUAUUUAUUUAUUUUGUACAAAACUCCUAUUACAUAGUAAAGAUGUGACAUUUGUUUCUGUACCAUGAUUCAUCAUAUGUGUGAGACUUGGUCCCAGCACACCUGGUGCCCCGAAACCCGGGUGUGACAGAAGUGGUAUCAGAGCGGAUGUUGACUGUAGGAUGAAACCUAGAUAGAUAUGAACAACCCUUACAUACUUAUCUUUGCUACUCUGAUCCUUUCUAAACUUUCCUUAAUAUUUUCUCAUCCACUGUUGCUUUACUCUGAUUACUCUUACCUUUUCAUUCUAAAGACAAAAGUGGAUUUCACACUUUGAAAUCUCGUACCUAAAGUGACCUUUAGGAAUAGGACACCUAAUCUUAGGAACAAAAACAAAACUAUUUUUGUAGGUAUCUAUGUACUUGAAUGUUUGUUCUUAUGAUACUUGUCUGAUUUGGAUCUUUGGUUGAGUGAGAUGGGUUGUGGAGUAAUAUCCGCAAUUGCAUCUGCUUAUACACAUAGGCAUAAUAAUAAUGUUGGGAUUUAAUCUGCCUGGGCAAGUCAAUUCCAACAAGGGGGUGGGAUAAUGUGUUUGCAGAGUUUAGCAUGGAAUGCCAAAAGCUUAAUCUCUCGUAUGUGGGCACUGUACGGGGGUAUUUAUAGGUACUCGAGGGGCCGCCCGUCCCUGUCAAAGACGUUUAGACCCUCGAGUACCUGGUUUAUCCCCAGAAUAUUCCCACGAGGGGAGGUUACAGAUGGUCAUUAAGGUUAACCCUAUUACAGACGAGGCCCUUGUCGCACCUGACCCCACGGGGCCCAUCACUAUGGGCCGAAUCGCACAUGGGCCAACUUAGGCGGACGGGGGCGCGGGAGGCCCACAGACUUCGGCAGGGCCUUCAUCUAGCAACACCAUACCGAAGGGGGUCACACUGGUCUCUGUUUGGGCGACGCUCCUGGCUUGUUCUGGCGUGUUCUAUCGAUGUAGCCUUCGUCGGCGUGAUGAGAGGACGAAGUCAUGGAGCGAAGGGCAGUGUGUUCACCUUCGCCCCAACAUUUGUCGUCCGAGGGACCAGUUCGACUAAGUCAGCUGGUGUAAAGACGCCGCUAGAUGGUGAAGACGCUGCCCUCGCUCGAAGUGGUCCCGCGGGGGUUUUUUAAAUGUGACCAUUGAUGGACGUAUUACUAUUGGACUGCACGUUUCCCGAGGCGUCGCGUCGUGCCUGUAAAAGGCCAACCGCGACUGGGCCUGAUCUCGUCUUCCGUUUGCGCUAAAGAAACCCUUGCUUUUGUGAACUCCUCGCUUGCCCUCAUUUCUCUUCCGCUUCGGAACUCUGGCCCGCAUCAAGCAUACCGCGCGCCGCCGCUCACGGUACGUUGCAAUGUCUUCUUCUUCGUCUAUUGCAAGUGCGUCGUCGACCGCACCAUCGUCCGAGGAUACAUUGAGCGAUUUGGCGGUGAUGGAGCUGCAGCCUGGCCAUACCGUAGAGUUCGGUACCUCGAGGAUUUCCUUGGUUCGCGUGCUGGAGAUGCAGCGACUUGGGUACUUUGUUGACGGCGUCGGGCGGGUUCUGGGUGUAGAGGAGAUUCCCGAGCCUGAAGGUGAGUUGGUUGUUUUUGAGGCAUUUUUUGUCGCCGGCAUUCGCCUUUCGGUGCAUCGCUUCAUGGCGGAGGUGCUACGAAGGAUCGAAAUGCAGGUCCACCAGUUGAUGCCGAACGCCGUGGUUGCGCUGGUGAAGUAUGUUUGGGAGGUUACUUCAUACGGCGGACAACCGUCUGUGGAGGUCUUUGCCAAGAAUUAUUGCCUGCAUUGGCAGAAAAGGAAAAUAGGAAAUAAGAUUGCACAAUUUGGAUCGUGCACCUUCACACCGAGGACUGGAAAGACUUCGACGGAAGUCGUGGAGAUAGUCCCUUGCGCCAGGAACAAGUGGGGCAACUGGUGGGAUUUUUGGUUCUACGUGUCUCCAAGUGAUGUCGAAGACCUACCUGGCCUCCCUCCGGCCAUUUUAUGUUCACAUUGUUAUGUGGCGUUCCCUCAAUUUGAGGUGGCGGAGAAUGACGAGGACGAAGGGGCCCUUCGGUAUGCCGCCCACUUGAGUAGCGAGCGCGAUUUGGUUGAGGAAUUUAUCGGCUAUGGGGUUUGGCCCUUGGCACAUGGCUGGGUACUGGGAGAAGUAUGCCCCCGGUGGAUGCCAACCUUGGUCGACCAGUUUGUGCGAAGUCCUGCCCUCGUUGUGGAUUUACGUGGUUGGAACCCAGCCGCAUUUGUGCGCGAGGUGGAGGCCGAGGCUGUGAAGAUUGUGGGGAGAUAUGUGCCGAGGACGGAGACUCUGAGGAGUCGGGAUAUUCGCGGUUCGAAUGUUCAGUUGAACCGUGUUUUUGAGUUGAUCCAUUUGUCGUAUGUCGGCUACCCGGGGGUCGACAACGUCGAUGCUGCUGCUGUCCGCCAUGGGAAAAAGGUGGUGACGACGGUCGAUGAAGGCCCUUUGUGGGGAGCUGCGCCGAGCGCGGCCACCAAGAAGAGGAAAUUAGGUACAACGACUGAGGGGUUGAGGGCUUCCGAACAUUUUGCUGCAGAUUUAUUGGAGACAUGCGCGGUUCCCAGGGAGACGAUGUCUUCGCCCGAGCUCUGGGAAUCUUCUGUGCGAAUGCUAAAGGUUACCGGGGGUCGCUGGCCUAUGAAUGUUCCGAUUCCCCGGACGGCCGGCGAGGACAUGUUUACAUCUCGAUUAGCUCGUGAGAUGAAAAUUUUCCCUUAUGGACAGAAUGUUGCUGAUGUUGUAUCAGCAGUGAUGGACAAGGAUCGCCAAGACGCACCGCGAAAACGCUGGGCAUUCGCGAGGGUUGGGAACCCGCGGCGCGAGAUCAAAAUGGCACGGGCGAGCGCGAAGACUGCCGCCCCCGACGCCAGCGUGCCUCUGGUUGGUGCGCCUGGUUCCAGUGUGCCUACGGCUGGCGCGUCAGGCGCCAGCGUGCCGUUGCCUACCUUGCCCACACAAGAGCAAAGGCCGAUGUCACCACCGUGGACUGCUGAGACGACGGUGGGUGGCGCCGAAGUCUCCCUGGAUAUUUUCGUGGAGGACUACCUUAUGGGCGGGGUCGUGAUGUUUGACGCCCACACUGGGCGAGGACCCGUCGGUGAGUGUUUUUUUCUUUUUUUUGGUGGAGCCUGGUACUCUGACGUGACCAUGGUGCAGUAGCGGAGUCUAGGCAAUUGGCUGUUGUCCCAGCGCCGUUGGCGGCUGGCUUCGUUGUUGCGGCGGCUGGGUCGAAGGGGUCUACGCAGGACCCGUGGUCCAGGUUCUGCACCAGCGGCGAAAUUGCUUCGGUCGCUGCCGCGAAGGAUGUGGCUGGCUCAGUUGCGCAGCAACUGAAGCACGUGAGUAAUCUUUGCCUCUAGUGGUUGGUUUUUUAUAUUAUGACUUCAAUUUGACAGUCUUUGGUGCCAGGCGGCCACCUUCACCGAACAUGUCACAUCGGGGGUGCUGACCUCGGGGUUUGCUGCUGAAAGGCGACGGCUCGAGGGGAGGAUUGAGCGCCUCCAAACGCAGCAUACUAAGGCGGUACAAGACAAAUCAGCCGCGGAGAACAGGAGCCGCAACUUGCUUGAGAAGCUAUCAGCGACGGAGGCUGAGAAAGAGGAUCUCGCUCGCCGUCUUGCGGCAGAAAAGGAGAACGCGGAUAGGGCCCACACGGAAGCCUAGGCUGCCCGUGCCAAGGCCAACCUCGCCCUCCAACGUGCUACCAACGCAGAGUCGGAGCACAGGAGUCCUUGCAGCUAUCUGGACAGAGCGGUGGCCUCCACUUGCACAGGGGUCGGCCGAGCGCACAAGUUGCUCGUGGACACGUACCGCGAGCUUGGUGCGUGUACCGCCCCCUUUGACGCGUCUAGUGACGAGGUGGGCCUCCGCUUCCUCGGGUGGUUGCAUGAGGAGCUGGAGCUACUCCCAGCGAUUGUGAUGGGUCUCAUGUCCUUCGCCUCGCUCAUUACCUAUGAAGGAGCUGUGAAUGCCUUGUCUCGCGAGGGAUGCAGGCACAUGGAAGUUUUUGACUGAUUCAACGAGAACUUCGACCGUGGGAUCUUCCAGGUCAGAGAUGAGGUGUUAAAGCGGUCUGCUGGGGCGCUUUACGAUAGGAUGUGGGGCCCUCACGGCUGUGAUACCGUCUGGGAGAGGUCGGACCUGGCGCUAGAGCAGGUGCGUGAUGUGUUUUUUUGUUAAUAUAUAUUUGUAUGUUGUGCUAUUUCUAUAGAUGGCGAAUGAUGAAGAAGUCAACGACUUCGGAGGCCUAGAAAGCUCGGUGACCCGGGCGAGAGAUGUGAGGACGGAGGUUGGGGAGCAACCGGCUCCACUGACCAGCCUUUCGAGGACCCUACGAUGGUCGCUGUCCUGGCUGGCGAAGACCCUCCAGCGACAGCUGCGCUGGCUACCGAAGACCCUGUCACGCCGACCGCUCCUUCACAGGUGGCGGGAUCGUGUUAGGGGUGUUGGGUUUAGGACCUUUUUUAUGUGAUACUGAAAGUCGGUUGGUGCGUAGGUUCCAACGUCUGGGACUGCGCAAGCAACCCCUACUGAUGAUGUUAAUUUUGUGGCGACCACGAAUGCGAUGCCUGUUAGUGGAAAUUUGUCUAGUUUGGAAACUGGGUCUUGGUCGUCUGAUGUGGGUGAGUUUGAGAGUUCGUUUUCAUGGACUGAAGAGUCUUCGGAUGGGGAUUUGGAUUAUUUUGCUGCGUUGGAUGUGGCCACGGCGGAGUCCGUGCCGCGACUGGAAGGGUGCGAAGCGUCCGAUCCUCCGGCCGAGGCGAGGACCGAGGAGCCCCGCCGGCGCAGAGUGGUGUCGAAGCAUAGUGUUGGCAAGAUGUCACGAAGUGGUAGGCGUCGUCAGAUGGGGAUGGAGCAAACCCGCCUUCGGGUGGAUCGAGGUGGCCAACGAGAUUUGUUGUCCUUGUCGUCCAGGACGUGUAUCGGGGAGGGGGAUCUGCGGAAUCUUUUUUAUGUUGUUUAAUUUUUGGGAGGCGGGCCUUAUCCCGAAGGCUGAGCCAAUGUAGCGCGUUUGUUGCCCUCGCUCUUGUCUUGCGGUAGUGAGUGAAAACGCUGCCCUCCCCCGGCUCGCAAUAAAGAGGGAGGGCAAUAAAAUUGUUCUUGUUUGUGCAGUGUGGCUGGUGACCCUUCGCUUUGUGUAUGUAAACUAUGACAACAUUGUUUGUUGUUUGUGUAACAUGGUAGGUGGCCCUUUGCUGUGUGUAUGUAACCUUAUGACAAGAUUUGUUUGUUGUGAAGUGAAAUGGUGACUUCGCGUCGCGCAUAUGUUGUGUUUCUCCGGUUGCACCCUUAGGCGACUUUUGCAUGGAUUGGUCUUCGGUAAAGACUUCAUAUCGUGCACUUGUUGUGCUUGUCCAGCUGCACCCUUAGGCGACUUUUGCGCAGAUGCCUUUUAGUAAAGACUUUGUAUCGUGCACUUGUUGUGCUUGUUCGACUGCACCCUUAGGCAACUUUUGCGUGGAUGUUGUGACGGAACCUCCCAAGUCAUUAGGUCGACCUACAGUUGUCCUUGUCCAUCAAACCUCGGACAACCUUGUAGAUGCACCUGGUCACUUGACAAGUUUGGUAUCUGAAUUCUUUACCUCUCCCAAGAGCGUUUCACCCGUCACACAGAUAUUACAACACAUUGGAGGAACGAAUAUGCGGAAGCAGUUACAAUACUUAUUUUGUAUUAAAGUAUAGAAAGAGUAUUAUUAUUAUAGACCAGUAAUAUAUAAGAGUGCAGGAGUAAUGUUAUUACAACCCUGGGAGGCAAAAACCCCUCCCGCUUAAUAGUAAAAAGUUUUUAAAGGACACUUCCUCUCGAGGCUUCAAUCCUGGUUUUCUUCCUUGGGCACCACCUUGGAACAAAAGCAACAAAAAUUUGCUGCUUCCUCACCUACAACAACAUGGGUUCAAAAACCCUAAGUACGAAGUGUACUUUCGCAAGUCUUACCUGUCAAAAUAAAAGACUUUCAAGGAUAUGCUGGCUUGAGGGAGUCAAGGUAAGGCUUAAUCAAUAAUCAAGACUCUGUUUGCAAAAAUGCUUACUAAUAGUGGAUCCUUAAAAAUCCAGUUGUAUUAGCAAGUUGAGUCAUUACCUGAAUUCUAUAGUUCUUUCUACCCUAGUUCAAGCAAUUGUCCUAAACUAGCCAUUUCUUAUUUAUCAACCCUUCUUGUUCACUGGAAUACUACGUGUAAGUCAGUGACCAAGUCUUCAUGUCCGAGAAGUAACGGCGAUCCGAAUCGAUUAAUACUCAGCUGAGGAUCUCCAAUCACACAAUAUAUGUAGCACUUAACCCUUGCAUAUGUCAACUCGCCACCGGGGUUCUUAAGACCAGAUCAGGUUCACGCCAACCGAGAGCACAGAUACACCACCGUCUAGCCUCUUGCCACGGAGGGUACACGCUACUCUCGCCAUCUCUCCACUCCCAUUGCGUUUUAUCUUAUUCUGGUAUUAGUCUACCCAAGGCAAAGCUUACCCAUGACGAGGCAUGUGAGCAGUUAAAGUGUCCUCGGUCAGCAGGCCUACAUCGACAAGGUCCUUAAUCGACUCAGACGGAGACACAACACCGAGACUCUCUUCUCGUGCAAGUCACCCGCCCGGUCUCAGCUUUAUCAUUUCAAACCCAAAGUUUGGUACCUGACAGAGGUACAUCUUUUCCGAUGUUGAACCCAUCAAGGCCCUGAUGGAUCCACCAUCCAGUUUUAUUUUUGAAAAACAUCAUUUCAAACCCAAAGUUUGGUACCUGACAGAGGUACUCAAUUCCUAUCACUUAAUGCAUCAAGGAAGUGAGAAAGGUUUUAAAACAACAAGGAGGUGGCAAAUGCACCGGGGCUUGCCUUGUGUUAUAGGAGAGUCGGGCUCUGCUCCACAAAUAUCAAAAUAAAAGCAGUUCCCGGCAGGUGGGUCUUCAGGUGGUGGUGGUGUAGCUCUUCCUUCUUCAACCUCUAUUUCUUCUUCAUUUUCUAUACAGAACCAUAUAUAAUCAUGAAUGCUCAUGUAAUGCUUAUGAAAAUGCAAAGAUAAUAAGGUAUAUUAUCUUAGGUCUUGAAUACAAUUUUCCUUCACGGGACUCUAGGAAACUAGGGUUUUUGGAGUCAGUAUUGUAGUUCAUAGGGCAGGCAUUACUAAAAGAUUAGGGUUUUGGGGUUUAGGUACCAAACAUUAUCCAAAUCAUACCAAACUUUACCCAAGGCUUCUAAAUAACAUUUAAAGCUUAUCCAAAAAGUUUAGUGAUUUUUGGAGUUAUUAAUCAAUUCCUAAAAUUCCAGGAAUAUAGGUUUUGGCUAUUUUAAAUACUCCAUAAUUCCUUAUUUGGACUAAAAAUCAUGAAACUAUUUUUAUUAAAUACUAUAGGAAUUUAGGAAUAUAACAAAAUUGGUCUGGUAUUUUUAGCAUUUUUCUACAAUUUUUUAUGAAUUCUCUAAUCCUGGAAGAAAAAGAAAAACUAUUAACAGUGUUGGGCUGAAUUCAGCCCAAACCGGCCUGCAGAAGGGAGGACACGUGCGCGCCCACGCCCGCGCUGCCAGUCUUGCGAAAAGGCCCCUGAUGUUUUAAAUCACUUGAAAAGUGUCCAACGGACUAUUCCCAUAGUCACUGACAUCUACAAAACCCCCCUCUAGUUCUAAUUCUUCACAAGGUGAAGUCCACGACGUGGAGCGGCGUAGCAGUAGCUCCAGCGAGCUCGUUCUGGCCGGACUACGCAAUGGCCAGUGCUCUAACUUGGUUUACUCCUAAUUCAACACCUAAUAAUCGUUGCCCCUUGAUCAAUUGCACGAUCUAAGCUUAAUUGGGGUGUUCCCGAUGAUCUGGUGCGGUCUAGCUUAAUUGAAUGGGUUGAGAAGCAUUAGGAGAACAUAAGGGUGCUAAAACGGGAGAGCAAAGAGCAUGAACGGACCUAAAACUAGCUAGCCAUGGCAAGGUCACUUUGCGCGGUGUUUUGGACCGAUUUGGGGGAAUCCCAAAUUGGGGCUCUCUGGUGAACAAUUUGGGACACGAGUGGGUGUGCUGAGUGCUUGAAUACCUUGCGGAGCUGAAGGUACACUCAAUUUAUAGGAUCCAUGAGUGGUGGCGACUAAUUCAGGGAAAGACGCGCGGUGGCCGGAGAGAAGGGGUUGCUCUGGCGCAAGCAAUUGGUGGCUUUUACCGUGGCGAGCUCACCAGCGAUCACUGGAUAUAACGCGAGCUACUACGACGUGGUAAGACACCAAGGCACGUGGCGCAAGGUCGCGAGGUGGCUAUCACCGGCGAGGAUGAUUCCGAAGCGGUCAUGAGCUAGGUGGACACGGCGGCCAAAGUGAAUAGUAGCUCAAGUUCAUCCACACGAUGAUAUUUACUACCCUGAGCAACAAUCGGUACUUCUUUGAGCACGAAUCGUAGUGUCGGGCGCGAAUCCGAGCGUGUGGUCGCUGGUGGCGAGAUAACUGAUUCUGGCGAUUUGAUCUUUACACUGUACCAUCAAAACCCUGAUUUAGAGUGCUUGACAAACUGAAUUGAAAUGCCUAGAUCUCAAAUUUUUUUGCAAAUACUUGCCAAUCCAUCUGUAGCAAACUUGUAGCCCUCCACACCAGCUACAAUUCUGCUAUAGGGAUCUUGCUCAUUUGCUUAGUCCUUUGAGCAUGAAUCAAGCCCAAAGUUCCUCAAAACUCACUGAUAGGCAGUAUUCAGUCUCUGUAUUAUCUGACAGCCAGACUUCAGACACAUUUAACUCCUAAUUUUGUACAAUACCAGGGCUUAAGUACUUAAAGCAAAUUUGUACUCCUAUAGUAGCUCUACAAGUUUGAUGUGUUGACCCUAGGCAAAUUCCUAAUAUUUUUAGAACUACAGGGCUCCAAAGUUAGCCCUGUUCACUUGUGUCACACUUAGUCACAUAAGAGGUGUAGUGGCUUUUUGCAAAUAAGCCCAAACCUCAUCUUUUGACUUGGAAAUCCUCAAAUGUGUGAACCUUAUGCUUUGGGGUGCCCUAAUACCUUGGUUUUUGCCCUUGGGUCCAAAAUUGUGCAAAAUUUACAUAUAACCCCCUAGGGUUUUAACAAGGGUUUUCAAGUGGUGCGUUUAGGGUUUUUGGCACUUCUAGGGUUUGAAUGCCACUCAAGUCCAUUAAUGGUGAUAUCUUAUGACCAUUUCUAAUGAGUUUUGAAGUUUUCUCUCAUUUAGGUUUUAUUGACACUCCUAAGCCUAGUUUAGGGUUAAGUACCCUACCCUAGGGUUUCACCCAUGACCAGUCACAUCAAUAAAACUUGUUUGAAAUUUUUGCCUAGUGAAUGCACUCUAAGUGUAACAAACACAUGAUAUGCUAAUGCUCAUGAUGUUAUGCUCAAGUUUUAGUGACAGUAACACUAGGGGUGUUACAUCCUUCCCCCCAUAAAAGAAUCUUGUCCCAAGAUUUAAAAGUCCUGAGGCAAGUAAUGGAAAAGGAAACGCGUCAUAUUUUUAUUUCCUUAUUUCUGGUACAAGGUAGGGGGUGGCUUAGGGUGUACUCCUCUUUUACAAUAAUUGUACAUAUCUCAUAAUUUACAUGAAGCUAAAAAGCCUAGGAAAUUCUUUUCUAAAAAGUCUUGGGUUUCCCAAGUAGCUUCAUCUUCUACGUGUUGGUUCCAUUGUAUCUUAUAAAAUUUGAGAGUUCUCCUUCGGGUAACCCUAUCCUUUUGAUCCAGGACUCAAAUAGGAUGUUCUGAUUAUGUCAAGUCUGGUUCUAGGGCAACAUUCGUCACUUCAACUGUUCGAUCUAGAACUUGAAGACACUCCUUCAAUAGGGACACAUGGAACACGUUGUGCACUAAAGACAAUGUUUUGGGUAGUUGGAGUCGGUAUGCCACCGGUCCACACUAUUCAAGAAUGGGGAACAGACCAAUGUACCGAGGUGCAAGCUUUCCCUUUACCCCGAAACGAGAUACCCCCUUCAUGGGUGAUACUUUCAGGUAGACAUAAUCUUCAACUUGAAAGUAUAAAGGUUGGCAUCGUUUGUAUGCAUAAUUCUUUUAGCGAGCUUGUGCUUCUUUCAAAUUAUGUAUAAUUCGUUGAACUUUUUCUUCCAUUUCUUUAACGAUAUCAGGUCCGAAGAACCACCUUUCCCCGGGUUCAGACCAAUUCAAUGGAGUACGACACCGUCGUCCAUAUAAGGCUUCAAAAGGUGCCAUCUUGAUGCUUUCUUGAUAACUAUUGUUGUAUGAGAAUUCUGCCAACGGUAAACAUUCAUCCCAUUUUUGUGGGUAUUCCAGAAUGCAUGCUCGUAACAUGUCUUCAAGUAUUUGGUUUACUCUCUCAGUCUGCUCACUGGUUUGAGGAUGAUAGGCCGAGCUGUGAAGCAAUUUGGUACCCAGGGACUUAUGUAGUGCUUCCCAAAACUUGGCUACAAAUUGCGGCCCACGAUCUAACACUAUGGUCUUUGGAACUCCAUGCAGACUAAGAAUAUGAGCAAUAUAUAACUGAGCAUAGACAAUAACUGGAUGAUCUAUCUUGACGGGCAGAAAAUGGGCUAUCUUGGUAAGUAGAUCAACUAUAACCCAAAUAGAAUCAUAUCCUUUUGUUGUCCUGGGUAACCCCACAAUGAAGUCCAUGCUUAUGUCUUCCCAUUUCCAAGUUGGGAUAGGUAAAGAUUGUAAUGGACUAGCAGUUUUCAUAUGUAUGGCUUUUGACACGUCUACAGGUGUCGCAUCUUUCCACAUAGCGUGCAAUUUCGAUCUUCAUUUUUGUCCACCAAUAAUGUUGCUUUAAAUCAUGAUACAUCUUAGUGCUUCCGGGAUGAAUGGAAUAGCGACUAAGAUGAACUUCAUCCAAAAUUUACUGGCGGACCUCAUCAUUCUUGGGCACAACUAUGCGGUUAUUAAACCAUAUAAUUUCUUGAUCAUCUUUUCUGAAACAGUUUGCUUUACUGGCUUUCAUUUUGUCAUGAAUGUGUUUCAUACCCUCAUCAGUUCUUGGUGCAUCAAUUAUUCUUUGCAGAAGAACCGACUCAAGCUUCAAUUGAUUCAAUGUUCCAUGUUGAAUCAUUCCCAGGUUUAACUUCUCCAUUUCUUGGCAUAAUGUGAUGUCAGAAGUCUUCAUCGUAAGGCAAUGACAUGAAGUCUUGCGGCUUAGUGCAUCUGCCACCACGUUGGCCUUGCC
rnacentral:lncRNA from 1 species